UAUUAACAAUUUCAUCCAUUUGUAUUGUUAAAAACUGAUGUGACUGACAAAAUAAUCAAGCAAUGACACAUGGCAUGCCAUAUGUAUCUCAUGUUGAUGUACGAAUGUCAGUUUUAACAGUAAAAAUGGAUGAAAAUUAGUU
rfam:Gossypium raimondii Chr10_contig_20, whole genome shotgun sequence.